AACUAUCUCAUCAGCAGCCGUUUGUCUUUGUUCUCUGUGUGUGUGUCAGGCUGAAGAAGAGGCGGCCCGUCUAGCUUCAUUGCCUGCCUGGAGGAGAGAUAUCAUGAAGAAGAAGAUGGAAGAAGAGAGUGAUCAGAUGGAACAGAAAAGAAAAGAGGAGGAACGGCGGCG